rnacentral:lncRNA from 1 species
UGGAGAAUACCAUCAACCACAGAAAUGAGACCACCACACACACAGCACACCACACACAGGCCACACCACACAUACCACACACACACCCCACACCAAACACACUUCCCACCACCCCACAUAUCACAAACACAUACACAUAUACCACACAACACCCACAUACCCCACCUAUCACAGACACACACACAAACAUACCACACACACACAUACCACCUACUCACCCUACAUACCUCGGACACACACAGAGAGAGACACACACACACAUCAUACCAUACACAGGCCACACACACUAACACCACAUACAUACACACCACACCAGCCCCACACAAACAAACACACACACAUACACACACAAUCUGAGACACAUUAAAACCAGCCCUAAGAGGGAAUUUUGUAGCUCCAAGUAUCUACCUAGGAAAGAGAGAGAGAGAGAGAGAGAGAGAGAGAGAGAGAGUCAGAUCCUGAGGAUGGGUAGGGAGGAAGGCAGGAGUAGUCAGGCCAGAGGGACUGCAGAGAGCAUAGUGUUCAAAGAGAGUCCAUGGCUCUGACAGUGCAUGCCUGCAACUGCAGCAGCAAUGCAGGGGGACCACGAGUUUGAGGCCAGGUUAGGGUACACAGUGAGUUCAAAUUAAAUCUUGUAGCACACAGAGGGACCUUUUCUCAAAGUAAUUUUAAAAUAAGGAAUAAACAGAACAAAGAGAAAGAAAUAGUAUUGAAUCCUAAACUAACAACUAAUGGGGCCCCUUCAAGCAAUGGUAUUAGGAAAGUAAAACAUUUCAAGAGUUUCACACUCAAUCAUCUAGACUCUAUAUUAAGUGAAAAUAUCCUCCAUUAGUGAAAUGUACAGCUUUAAGUGCCUACACUGAAAACAAUCAGAAAGCACAAACAAAUGAGUUGCUUAAUGAUAUAACUCAAAACUUUGGAAAAACAAGAACCAAACCCAGUCUCAAUACACAGUAAUAAAUGAUAAGAAUCAGAGACAAAAGGAAUAGAAACGAAGAAAACAACACAAAGAAUCAACUAAUAUAAGAGCGGAUUCUUCGCGAGGAUAAAGGAGAUUGAUAGACUCUCGGCCCAACUAACUGAAACAAAGAGGGGACAAGGCAAAUUAACAGAAUCAGAAAUAAACAUGGAAAUAUAACAACAGACGCC